rnacentral:lncRNA from 1 species
GUUUUCGGGAGCGGUGCGGGCCUUGGGGGUGGGAGGAGGAGGGUGUGCUGCCCUGCGUUCCCGGGCGGCGUUGCGUAACGAGGGCUCCGGGCUGGGGGCGUAGACGGCGUUGAAGAAGCAGGACCUCGCGCACGAGCCGGGCAGAGCCAUGCCCGCUCGCCUUCCCUUGGCUCGGCCGCGGGGCGUGGCUGCCUUGGCAGCACCGGAUCAUAAUGGUUUCUUCGCGCGGUGAGAAGGGAGGAGGCCCACCCGCAGCCUGAGGGGCCGUUAGGCUGCGGGCAGCGCCCGCACCGAAGGGCGGGUAGAGGAAGGUCCUCCGUGCCCGGAUCCCGCUGCCCUCGCGUCACAGCGGUUAGUUCCAUCCGCCGCAGGAAAGCCGAGGCAAGGCGCGGCGGCGCCAGCGCCCGUUCAGGGACUUUCCCCUCAUAGGGGUGGAGCGACCGUUGGCCCGCCUGCGCCAACGGACGAGCGCGUGGCGGGGCGCGAGGAGAGGGGCGGGGCGGAUCCGCUUCGCACGCGCCCCUCCCCGCGCCUCACUGACAGGUGGAGCUGUGCCCCGUCUGUCGUCACGUGACGGGGGGUGGGGAGGAGAUACCGCCUCGCGAGAGCGCUGUGACGAAGCUACCGCGGCCCCGCAGGCGUGAGGGAGGGGAGGGGGUGCGGCUGCCGGCUGCCAGCGGAGGGCUUGGCGGGGCCAUCCAGUAGGGGAGCGGGAAGGAGCUUUACGGAGCGUUUGAUGUAAGUAAACGUCUAGAUUUCUUUGAGGCUCGUUGAGGAAAGGGGCUACGUGUGCUGGGCUUGCUUUCUGGCCCUUAUAAGACCAAGGCAACUCGCUGACAUCCCUUGCUGAGAUGUUGCCUCCAGUUCCUCCACCAGUCACAGCACUGCUGCUUGCCGGUUCUGUCCCCUUGUUAUUAAUUGCCACUGUGAAAUUAGGUACUCGUGAGGGUGAGCCGUGAUGUUGCUGUCUUCAUAGGUGUAACAGCAAGCGUUUAUACGUCAGUGGUGUUUCUGAAAUGAUUCCUUAAGCAUUUUGUCUCCAGUACACAGGGCAUGUGUGCAUUUCCAGCAUUGCAGGAGAUGUGCUGAAGACAAAGUCUUGAGCAGUACGAAGGACUCCAGUGUCUCUGUUCCUCUUAAAACAUGACUACGUAAGCUCUCUGGUGCAAAUGCAGCUAGAACAAAAAAAGCACCCGCGUUUAGAUAGAUUUCAUAUCUUUAUAUAAAGUAGCCAGUGAUUAGAGUAUUAAUACACUGUAUUUAAAAAACUAGUAUUUAAGUUUGGACUUCACGUUAAAAAAACAAGUUACUGGGAAUGAGCCAUAGUCUGCUAAUAGUGAUAAUACCAAUGAAGUUAUCAUCAAAUAUCUGACAUCAGUAUUCUAUACAGCUUCUCAGUCACACUGUUUCAGCAGUACUUCCAUAGCGGGCCAAGGACUCUACAGAUUGGUAACACGUCAGAAAUUGGAUAUUUCAGCACCAAUUGUUUCUGAAGAUCUUGACCAUAAGGCCUGAUGUUCCCACUUUGCAGUACCUUGAGUACAAAUCAGCAGAAACAAGAGUAGACUAAACUGUUUCUCAGUAUAGGGCAGGUAAUUUCUGAAUCACAAAGCAACUCAGGAGAGUUCACAGAAGCAUGGUGAUACCUCAUGUGACCUUCAGUUUAACUUUUAAUGCAAGUGAAGUAACCCAAGUUAUUUCUCAUACUCCCAACAACACCACUCAACUCUACAGCCUACCUGUGUUGGCUUGAAUUGAGUUUCCAGUUCCUUUUUUCAUACUUGAAAUACCAUUUGGGCUAUAUAAGAGGUGCUGUGAAGGCCUUUGUAUCAUUUCAGCUCUUCAAGAUACGACCAAAGCUCUGAUUCUUUAAAAACAGAAAGAAAAGCUUGAAAAUACAUGCUGAAACUAACACUGCCUGCCCUUGCAGAGAGGCUUGCAGACAGGUCUUGCAAGCUACGUCUAUUGAGAGGUUGUGUCAGACAAGCAUGGUGCUAGCCUCCCGCUCUGAGAGGUGCCCUGGAAGUUGACCUUGGAGGAGUAAGUCCUUAGAUCCUUACUAAAGAUGUAAACUGCAGUAUUGUGCCGUACCUAUUCAGUAUUAGUUAAUGCAUUAGGUUUUUAGCUUGGUUGGAAUUCUGCAGUCAUCUGAGAGUCUGCAGAACCACUUUAUUACCUUCUGUGUGAGAGUUGUGGAUGAACAGAACUCUUGUCCUGAGCAGUACCCCUUGGGGACCACUUUCCUGUGCACUUUCACCGUCAUUACACUUCCAAGCAGUUUCUUUGUGUAUUCCAGCAUACUGUAGCAAAUGCUGCUUUGUCAUGGUGCAAGGCUUCCCAUUUGGAGCCUGAACAUCGUUAGUGCAUACAGUCAUGGAACAGUUUGCUGGAGAGAGCUCCGUGUUCCAAGCAGGUAUUUGUUGUGCUUAUCAUUCUCCACAGUUGGAAUCUGAAAUGCAGAGUUAAUACUCCGCUGUUUGAAUGUAAUGUUAGAAACAGCGAACAUGAAUUACAGAACUCUCCUUAUAAAGCAAUACGUAUUGCAGUCUAGAGAAGUGAUUCUGCCCUUUUGCUCUUGUGAGACCCCAUUGGAAGUACUGCAUCCAGUUCUAGAGGCCUCAACACAAGAAGGACAUGGAGCUGUUGGAGCGGGUCCGAAGGAGGGCCACAAAGAUGAUCAGAGGACUGGAGCACCUCCCUUAUAAGGCGACAGACUGAGCUGAGGCUCUUCUGCCUGGAGAAGAGGCCUUCCAGUACCUGAAGGAAUCCUACAGGAAAGGUGGGGAAGGACUUUAUAGAAGGGCAUGUAGCAACAGGACAAGGGGAAAUGGCCUUAAACUGGAAGAGGGUAGAUUUAGACUAGAUAUUAGAAAGUUCUUUAGUGUGAGGGUGGUGAGACGCUGGAACAUGUUGCUCAGGGGAGUUGGAACUAGAUGAUCUUAAAGGUCCCUUCUAACCCAAACCAUUCUAUGAUAUCAUCUGAUGUCCUCUUGAGAUGAAAGGCACUUCUUAAAAUCAGUGCACAGAAAUUGAUAUGGAAGAAAGAUUUAGAAUUAAUGCUGGGAUUCAAGUUGUCAUCUCACUUGAUGUCAGGUUGUUCCUGUAUCUCAGACAUCCCAGGUCAAUAGCAUGUAGGUAGGAACUCAAUCUCAGGAAAGUAAUUUCAUUUAGCAUGGGAUAAGUAAAGGGUGGCCUCCUUCAGAGCUUCAUUUUAUUCUGUCGUUGCUUUUCAUUGCUGGCAAGAGCUUAUCUUGCUGUCAACUAAAGCAGGUCCUUUUUAGAGAUGGUAGUGAUCCAACCAUUUUUUUAAUUGGUUUUUAUUUGUUUACUUAAUUAGCAAGAGUGUGGUGGUCUGAUGAAUGUUCACCACAAAAACGCUUUGUAAAUCUGUUGAUGGGAGGUUCUGACCAGAGGCUUGUUUCUACAGCACUGUCUAGUGUCAGGAAUGAUGCUGCUGCUGGUGAAGGGUGGUGCUUCUUGCUGCAUAUCCUGAGACCUGAGCCUUUUUUAUUUAUUUUUUUCUUGUGACAUGAUCUGAGACAAGACAAAGUAUCAGUUCUAUCCAAUAAAGGCUGGCAAAUUCAGCAGAAUGCUCACAAGAGCAUUACUUCUUCAAAAAAGGCUUGGUCUUCAAAAUGUCAAACAUUCUGGGCUACCAAUAUGGAAAAUACAGGGGGGAGGGCAAAUGGGAUGAUAGAUAUUAAGAAGUUUUAAUGCCUACACUUCUUAAAAAUAGCACAACUCAGGAUUUGUAGGGGACCUGUUAGGUCAGGGCUUGAACUGGUGAUUGAGCACCUGGUGAAGGGAUUGUGGCUGACCCAAGGAACACAAGCAAUUGAUUGCACAUUGUGCUCCCCAUGUGACCAGAAGGGGUGGAACCACUCUGGGCUCAUAUAAGGGCCAGCAGUGAAGGUAGAGCAUCUCAGGGAUUUAGGCUGCUUCCUAACAGUGAGUGCUGUAGUGCCCUUCACCAGUUGGCUGAGUUCUGUUCUUUCUGUAUGUGACUAUUGGCCUAACUGGGAAUACUUUGCCUGGUAUUGCCAAGUACCUCUCAGAAGUAGUUUCAUUUCUUCAUGAGCAGAGCAGUACUCAAAUGGGUUACCUGAUGGGAGUAGAUCAUACUGGUUUGUUCUAGCCAUAUUUAAUUUUCUCAUAACUCAAUGUGACAUUCCUCAUGUCUUUUUUUUUUUAACUUCAUUUUUGAACUUAAUAGAGCCUUUUCUUGAUCUGUCUUUGUACUCUGUGCAUUUUCAUACAAAAAUGAAUUUUUUUAAUAGUAGUUACUUCAGUAUAUUGUCUGUUGUUGGAAGAUUGAACCUCCUUGCAGUCUUUUCAUGACAGACAAGCUGGACUGGUGGAGGAAACAUACUCCCUGUAUGUGGCCUUGAGGUUCUUUGUGGACAAAACAGUUACCAUUGAGUCACUUUCUCAACACCAGAGUAUUUGCUGAACAAAUCUUGUUUUCUUUUCUCUGUCUGUAGAGCUCUUGCUCUCCAGAAGGUUCUUUGCUGUGCUUCAGUGCUCGUAUGAAGUGUAUCAAAAGCCUGAUUUGCUCCAUGAAGGUUUUCUGGCUCAGAAGGUUGUUCCAUGGGCUACUUCCUCUCUUGACUAUUCGACCUCAUCAUCAGAUACAUUCUCUCGUAACUUCAGAUGCAUACUUGUUUCUAAGCACUGCGAUUAACAGAGCGUACUGAUUAUUAUUUAUGUAGUUAGUAUGACUUCUGAGACGGGUAGCAAUGUUUCAGUCCUUCCUAGAUACAGUUGAAAUCUCACAUUCUUCCUUAUCCCAAGAUGUUGUUAGUCAUCUGCAGCAAUAUGUGAUUUCAGUCCUUGGAAAAAACAAUGGUGUUGAAAGCUUUUUAGGGGUAUCAGCUCAACUUGAUCUUUCAUUUCUGCUUUUCAAAGUUAUUUGCAGCUACUGUCAGGGGGCUGGAGCACCUCCCCUACGAAGACAGGCUGAGGGAGCUGGUCUUAUUCAGCCUGGAGAAGAGAAGGCUGCAGGGUGACCUCAUUGCAGCCUUUCAGCACCUGAAGGGAGCCUAUAAACAGGAAGGGAGUAAACUCUUUGAAAGGGUAGAUAACAGCAGGACAAGGGGGGAACGGUUUUAAGUUGAAAGAGGGAAGAUUUAGGUUGGAUGUUAGGGGGGAGUUCUUUACAAGGAGAGUGGUGAGGUGCUGGAACGGACUGCCCAGAGAGGUUGUGGAUGCCCCGUCCCUGGAGGUGUUCAAGGCCAGGUUGGAUAGGGCCCUGGGCAACCUGGUCUAGUAAAUGGGGAGGUUGGUGGCCCUGCCUGGCAGGGGGGCUGGAGAUUCAUGAUCCUUGAGAUCCCUUCCAACCCAGGCCAUUCUGUGAUUCUGUGAUACUAGCUAUAAGCUAUUAGGAAUAGUGAGGGUAGCAACCACUUCCUUACAAUGUUGCAUGGGUUGUACACAUGAUGUCUACCAACAUUGCUUUAAAAAAGAAGUCAUUCAGAUUUGUAGUCAAGAUGACACUUGUAACAGCUCAGAGGACCCCUAGCUAUAAGGCAUCUCCUGCAGCUGCUUGAGAAAAGUGAUAAGACAGAAGCAAUGUCAGGUAUGUGUAACAAGGUAUACAUGCUGGAAAAAAAAAAAAAGCAAAAUAAAAAAAGGAAUCCAAGUUGAAGAAGCACAAGGUACCAUUUUGUGUGUUACAAGAUGUAAAUCCAGCUCUUUUAUUAUUGACGCCUUCCCAGGUUUUAGUCGAGCCGCCUGAAAUAUGUGACUACUGGGCAUAUAAGGGAAAGCAGCAUAAAGUAAUACAACCUGACAAUAGGUUAAUCAGGGGAGAAAAUAAUCCCUUUGUGUAGCUUUCUGUAUUCAUUAGUUGUUUUUUUUUUCUGCCUCUUUUUUUCUUAGCUGCUUUUUACUUCAUUUACUCCAACACAGAGUCAGAACAAACUGUCAGACUUAAAUUACUAAAUUACAUUUGUGAAAUUUGGAAUAAAGAGAGUGAGCUGUACUUCAUUUCGCUAUUUUAGCAGUAGUUCCAUCAUUGUCCAGAAGUUCAUAAUAAAAUGAUCUGCAAUUUGCAUGUUCCCUGUUCUGCCUUCCCUCAAGGUCUGACGAGAGUGGUGUUCAAUAAUUUGAGUUAUAUUUUGACAGUGGGUGAUGGUCAAGAAUAAAACCUUUCUCCUUCCAGAAGGCUCCCUCCCCACCCAGAAAAAAAGCAUUUUCUAUUUGUAAGAAAAAAUAAAUACAUGUAGAAGUAAUUACUGAAACUAGAACAUUUCUCAAAAGCAAUUUCAAUUUCUUCAGCAUACUGUCAAAGAUAGGUUGUAGGGGUUUUUUAAAAUCUUAGAAAUAUCUUACUUAGUUUUUGAGUGGUAGAUAAGUCUUUAAUAGGCUGUCAUGCAGUAAGCAUUUGCUGGAAGUGAGUUAACACAGGAAAUGUGUUAUUAUCAUACAGGUAUUGCUUCUGUAUUAGAAAGUGUUUAAAGACUAAUAAUUAUUAAAUGCUUUAGUUAUAGACUUUAUUUAGCAAUGUCCUGCCUUACUGCUUGAAUCAUAUAGUCAUUUUUGUGUACUGCCCACUCCUUCCCUUAGUCAGCUUGCUUUUAACAUCUGCUUUGCCUUAAAGGCUCAGUGCUUGAAUUCAUCUGGAAUUCAAGUAGUAAUCUGUAGUCCCAAGAAACGUGUAGUUAAGCGGUAGUUUCCAUUGCUGUGCAGUAUGUCAGCAGAAAUCAUAACAUUUCCCUUGAGCACUGAAGAUUGUUCCACAUUUUAAAAGGAUAAACAUGACAACAGCUCCAUCUAAACGUGGAAAACCAUCAAUUUUUAUACACAACCAUAACUAUACUUUGAGCUGUUUCAUUCAAUUUGGAGACAGUUUUGCUGGGUAGCCUAUAGAUUCUCUAAGAAGGGCUGAUUCUCUGAGCACUGGUUUGAAGAGACCUGCCUGCUGAAGUUGUACCAGCAGAAGCAGCAGCUGUUAAACCAUCCACCUCUGUGUCAUGUUUUUCAUGCUCUCUAAUGUUAUAGUAAUUGUCAAUAUCUGCAAUUAGCUGGAGAAAUAAAUAUGGAAAAAGUACAUUUGUCUGGACAGUGUUUCUUUACGGUGCUUUUGUUAGUUGAUUUCCCCCACCCGGCUACAGGAAAUUUUGGCUGUGUCUACUGAUGUAUAUUCCAAAUGUGUGUGUGUGCUUCCACUCAUGUUAAUAGCUUCAGAAGGUAAGUAGGGUAAGUGUCCGCUCGUCCACUAAGAGCCAAAUGUGGCUGACUGUGACAUACUGCCUUCUAAAGAAGUCACCUGUCUGAUAGAAGGUAAUCAUGAGGACCUAUCUCUGCUCUUCAAAAAACAGUGCUUAGUGGGAUCUUUCUGCCUUUGUGACCACAUGGGAAUUUAAUACAACUUCUGAGUAGUUGAUAAUAAAUACUGUGUUUGUUAACAGUCUUGUCUUUGGUUCACAUUCACUAUCACAGCUCUUCUGUAACUUUGUAGAACUUGGCAAAUGCUGUGAAGGUGGUAUUUAAAUAAGCGGAACACAGGAAGUUCCAUGUGAACUUGAGGGUGACAGAGCACUUGGACAGGCUGCCUGGAGAGGUUGUGGACUCUCCUUCUCUGCAUAUAGCCUAAGACCACCUGAACACGUUCCUGUGUAACCUACUAUGGGGAGCCUGCUUUUAGCAGGGGGUUGGACUUGAUUAUUUCUCGAGGUCCCUUCCACCCCAUGUGAUCUGUUGACUUAAUAUAAGAUGCUGGGCUAAUACUGUUGCCUGAUGAUUUUCUGACUUUCAAGAGAAAAACAAAUAAAGAGCGUUUUUAAAAUAUCCCUGGAGUAAAUUUAAAGUAAAACGUAUAAACAUUGAAAGGAGCCAUUCACAUACUCAGCAAAUGAUGAACAGCUAUUUUGUUUACUCUUGUAAAUCCUGGAACAGACUGCAGUAUUAUCUGAGAUGCAUUAUUAGCUGAAUACUUCAAUUUUUCUUCCAAAGUGGAGGAUGUUACAUUCUUUCAUGAGAUUUAAUAUAGUUCUCUAACUAGAUUAGCCUUUAUUGGUAAAUCUUGUCAAGAAAAGUACCUGAAAGAAACUUUUCUUAAAAAGCUUCAACUAUUGUAUUGUGCUGCUUUUUGCUAUUAUUGUCAGGAGUGCCUAAAACAGUAAAAUCUUCUGCAACCAAUCUAAAAAGCUAUUCGAUUGGCUGUAGAAUCUGAGUCAUUUUUUACUGCAUCUGCUUUUAAAAUCUGUUGAUUUGCACAAGUAAUAGUAGAUAAUAACUGUAAUCAUACAUGAACAAAACUUAUAAAGGUGCAAAUAGCAGGAGGCACUCUGUGACAUUAAGCGUGCCUUGCUGGGGAUUAAGACAGUGACUCAAGGAGCUUCAUCAUAACCCCGUUGGAUGUGGUGACUGCUCUCUGUCCUUGUCUAAACAUGUUUCAGGAUUCCCUUAGAGCAGCUAGGAAAGCAGAGGUAUCUCAAAUAAAAUGAUGCUUAAAUUUGGCAAAUGUUUCUAUUGAGUAUGCAACAUCUGUUGCUUUAGUUAAAACUAGUAAGACUGUCUCCCUGUGUUUCAGAAUUUCAUCAAAACAAGGUGAAGCCCAAUCAGUUUGAUACAUGGCACCCAAUGAAUAAGAUACAGGGUUAUCACCAAAGCAUACAAAUGCAUUUGCAAUAUGUGAUUGGGGGAUGAAUGCAAUAAUAAAGAGGCAAAUCCUGUUAUAAAAUUCCAAACUGAGAUAUGGAUAUUUUUUUUGUAAAAUUGCUGAUGGAUUCCAUUCAGGAGCUCUCUGUCAUUUUGCAUUCUCGUUUAUUUCACAUACCAACAAAAGUUGGAUCAGGCCUCUGACAGAAUUAAGGCGGCAUGAGAAAAACAAGUUGUUUCUUUUGUAAGCUUGGUGUUCCUAAAAUCCAAAGCUAACCCUGCCUUUAAACAUACAUUUUCUCUUGCUUCCCCCACCUGUCAGCUGCAUUACACUUGAGAAGCCGUGAAACAGGAAAUUGCUAGUUUAGUUUGGAGAAUUUCCCAUCUUAACCUUCUCAAGGUGUAAUUUAGUUUGUUCGAAUGUUUAUGCUCGUGUAUCUAUAGAUAUACUCGGCACUAAUGAAGUCAGAUAGUGAGCAGUCUUCUUGUCUGAAAAUGAACCCCAUGGUUGUUUGUUCCUGUGAGUGGUGUGUUUCUUCACAUGGAUAUAUACUGGAAAGCUGAAAGAAGGAAGUUGUCAUCAGUCUCAAUAGAAGAAUAAACUCUGGAGAAAGGGGCAGCAAAGGGCUGAUUUGCUAAGAAUGAGCAAUAUUUUCCCAAACCUUUAUAUGGUUAAAUGAGUACUUUCUUCUAUUCGUGAUGGGUUAACAAAAGAUUACUUUAAGUUGUAGAUGUAAAACUUCAAACAAGACAAUCAGCAUUUGGCCAGGGCUUCCUUAGUGUCCAUGAGAAGAAAGUCCAUCUUUAAUAUUCUUCCCACAAUUAAAAGAAAUAAAAUUGCAGCUUCCAUUGAAUUCACAUACUUACAUGUAAGCACUCAGGCUUACUGCUUUACUAAACCAGAGUCUCAAUAGCUGUCUACAUGCUAUGAAAGUAUUGGUGCAAUUGGCACUAUUAUCAAAGUUUUAAAUGUACACAGAUACAUCUCUUUCUCUCAUGGGUAGCCUAUAUAAAAUGACAGGGAGAUAAACUGAAGAAAUCUUGUAUUUGUUCCCUGUACAAAAAAGGAGAAUAAAUAUUUUAUUAUAAAACUUAAACACUUCUUUUCCAAAUGCGUCACUGAUUCUUUUUCUAAUAGAUGAUUAUUUGUGCUUUUAUUACACAUCCCUUUAAUGCUAACGCAACCUUCAGUGAACAAUCCAAUGUUAAGAACUAAUGAAGAGUAACUUACUGGACUUUUUCUGAUGAAUAAUCCCAGCUCACGAAGGUCAUAAGUCUGCAAGUUAGAGAAUACCAGACGAAGAGAAUUUCUACUAAAUAUUUGGUUAGAUCCAUUUUUAAUGAGUCAGUUCAGAUAAGAUUGCAAAGUUUCAAUGGUUAGCAGAACUCCUUUAGUAGGAAAUUGGGCUAGAAACAGUUUUCCUCAUGGAUUCAGUGCUGUUCUAGGAUUCUGUUAGCUCAGCCCAUAUUGUGGAAGACCUCCUAGGUUGCAUUUCCUUUUGCUUAUGAUACUACGCUGGAAACUGAGGCAAAGUCACUGAAUUAACUUCAGCGUAAAAUAAAUGAAAAUCAAAUCUUCCAAAUAUAAGUGAAUGCCACUUUCAGAUAGCUUUUGUGAUAAUUACUCACCUAUGCUAUCACAUAUUGUAGGAACUAUGUAGGGCUGUCAUCUUAAAACAAAGUCAAAUGCUGCAAUAGACAACAGUGACUGUAUUGUUGGGAAGCCUACUGAAUUUGGUUAAAACUUUUGGUGUUAGUAAACCCUGUGUCAUCUCUGGCUGCUGCUGCAAAGAAUCCUGAGAUCCUUUUGUAAGGAGGUCCAGCACGUUCAUAACAGCGCCUCGGGAGUUGGUUGACUGAUGCACAAUACAUUAAGAUGAGUCAAUAUUAUGAGAUCAACCAAAGAUUGCUAUUAAAGGAAUAAAAACAAAUAAAAAUUGUUUUUUAAAAAAGGAAUCUCUAAAAGCUUGAGCCGCUGAAUUGAUCUACUGCUAAAUCUUUAUUGCCUCUAAAUAAUUGUUAGUUUGGUUGCCAGUUAGUCAGAUUGCAUUUCUAAGCCAGGAGAGUUGGACAGAUUUCUAUUGCUCUUUAUCAUAAGCUGUCUUUUCGUACUGUUCCUGUACUGAUGUAGCAGCUGUUGCCAUGAAUCAAAACCCACACACAAGCAGGAGCAGCUCUUUGUUCAAGGUAACACUUUUGAAUGCAGUGUUACCUGUGCACUCAUCUCUUUCCUAAUGAAGAAUGGUCAAAAAGAACCAUGAUUCUGCAUGGUUGGCAAGGCUUGAAAGGAAACAGCAUCUUCCAAAUGAUACAAUUAGUUGAUUGUGUAGGAAAAUAACCCACACUGUUCUUCAAUUCUAAAGAAAUCUCCUUCUAGUUCUCCAUUUUUUUCCAUUUGAUUACUCUUCAUGUACUUUUUUUUUCCCUCCCUCAUGUAGUGUUUUACAAAUCAUGUCAUUAUUUGCAGAAAGUUUUAGGAAAUGUCUCUUAACAUACAUUAAUUCUUCAGUUCAGAAACACCGAGAUUAUUUAAUUGUACUAAACUCCACUUUAAGUCCAGCUUUGAAAUGUUCCCAUUAUGCCUAUUUGAAAACGUGUGAAUCAUAGUGAAAGUGCCAAUUCUGGAAAGUGUUUAAUGUUAAAUAUACAAUAAAUGUCAUAAGGGCUAAAAAACUAAACUCUUACCUAUUGUCUACUUGCUUUGAGGGCUUAACAAACGAGCUAUGAUUUCUGCUAUAUAUUAACAUUCAGAAAGUUUUUCACCACGACCAUGUGAUUGUUUGCAUUAGAAGCUUAAUUGUUGUGUGCAAAAUUAGAAUCAUGCCUAUGGGUAUUUCAAAUGGAAGAAUAAUACCAGCUAACGACUUCAGUGUAACUAGUAAAAUUACAUCAGGGAGAGUAUUUAGGAAUUUGCAGAUUGGCCAAAUUUAUACUGAUGAGAAAUACAUGUGAUUUAGUCAGUAAAAUUUAAUGAAACCAUGCAUAUAUUGAGGAAAUAAAAGCAUACAGGCAUAUUUGUUGCAAUGUGUGGAAAUUGGUUAACCUCUUACAUGAGGGAAAAAAUAAGUUCUGCUUUAUGAGAAAUUCUGAUUGUUUUUUCCAAAACACUAUUCCUUCUUUUGAUGUAAAGUUAUAGCCUCUCACAGAUAGGUUUCUUUAGUAAGUAGCAUUUAUUGAACUUGCUGUUUCUUCACGAACUUAUUUCUUUACCAGGAGUACAGAGGCAUAUUUAUUUGCAGAAGGAGCUGAGUAAUUUGGGAAUAAGGAAAGAAAUUGGAGCAGUUUCUAUUCAAAGUUUUCCAAGUAUUUUCUAGAAAAAAAAAUCUCUUGCUUUUUGGCAGUUUUCAACAUUGUUUCAUCAUCUCCAACUCAAAGAUACUCACACCUACAGUAAAGAAUAACCAACUCCUUAUGGUGGGUAAUGUAAGGAGACUCUGGGACCUGGCAAAACUCCUCUGUGUUCAUCAUCUGGCUUGCCAGGUGAGCUACAGCAUGUAUCACAGGCUUUGUUUCUGUUGUCCCAAAAAGUACAACUGCUUCUCACAUCUGUCUGCAGUGUGGGGUGUGACCUCAUUCUCCAAUUUCGAAGUUCUUCCUAAUCUAGAUUAUAGGACACUGUAAAUAACUUCCUACCAUGAGUGGUAUUAGAUUUAGUAUUUUGGAUCUUGAUAUUAAUCACAAAGAACAAAGAGAUUCAAGGUGAAAAUUAGAUCAGUAUUUUGGACUCCUUAAAGAAGGUAUGGAAUGUGAAAUAUUAGAGUACGUUCAGAGUUCACAGAAAAUUCUUGAGACUUUCAAAGUGUUAAUAGGAAAGAGGUGCAGAUUCAAAUAGAUCCAUACUUAAAUGAACCAGACAACUUUCGGGCAAUCAGUGGAUGUAUGAGUGCUAAAAUAGAAUGAGAUAAAUCUUCUCUUUAAAGUUGGACAGCUAAUUCAGAGACUGAAUCAAAUUCAGAGGGUGAGCUUGCGCUCUGCUAACAUAGAAACAGUAUACAGGAUGAACAAAAGGUAAGCCUAAUGAUGUUAUCCAUAGAACAUCUGAAAGGAAGUAGAACAGAACAACAUGUUUUAAGCAAACAGCUCACAAAGUAACUCUUUGAUACAUCAAAGCUAAUUAGGACAGAGUCCAACAAUUACAAAAGAUAUUUAGUCGUAAAGAGAUACCCAGCAGUGUUUUGUCUUAUCUUUUAAGCAGAUCAUUAGAGGCUUCCUGUUACAUUUCUUCUCCACUUCUUUUCAGGAAAAUCUAUUACUCUCUCCUCAGGAGGAGAUUGAAGCCUACCAGAACAAUUCAUUUGGCCUACUCCCAGCCACCUUGGUUUUUUUGAGAUGCAGUCAGGGAAUAAUAAUAGACUCAAUGAAUAGUUCUUGCAGUAGUAGUCUGCUCUGAUGGUUAGCUUUCUUCAUUUUCCUCAUCUUGCUACACAACAGAUGUUCAAAAGUUUGAGCCAAUCAAACCUGUUGCACUUGUGCAAAUUGCUUUGCAGAUGUUCACAGAAGUUAAUCUGUUAUGUCACAGAGCUGAGCCACAGGCUUUGCUAUAGCAGCAAGUUUGGGUAGCACUGCUGUGGCAUGUCCUCAGGUUUCUGAGGAAGAGAUAGAAACUGCCUCUAGUGGUUAAUGUAGGGAGAGAAAGGCCUGGCACAACACAAGGGGUUUCUAAAAGUCUUAGUGUUAAUGUCAUCUUUUCCUUUCUUAUAUUUUUUCCAUGAUAGCAGCCUGAUAGCAUAGGGCAUUAUUACUACACAAAAUAACAGCAACUCUUUCUGUAAGUAAAGCCUGGAUAGAAUAGUUCUCCAACUGCUUGCUAGAAAAGUGUUUCCUUACGUAAGGUCAGGAAGAAUACAGAUGUUGUAAAGUAUUGGAUAAUCAAUAGCUAUACAAAGAAAUUAGGCUUAGUAAGAUUAUCACAUUGGAAAAGAAAAUCAUAAACAAAUGCCCUUAAAUGGGGUCUAGGAGAGGUGCAGUCAGGCUCCACCCCUUCCUGUCACACAGCUGAAUCGCCUUCACCUGUGUUCCUGUGCUGACUCAGUGCUCACCUCAGGUGAUCAAUCAGAGGUUCAGGCUGUGAUUCAACAGUUCCCAUACACCUUACAUAUAAGAGUGGGAGGAAUAGAGAUAGCUAGCCUGACUGAUGCUUUAAGGUAUGAUUGUUUAUUUUUACAGAGGCUGGUACUUAAAAGAAAAUCUUUUUGGCCAAACCUAUUCUUAUGCACGCAGUUAGCACUUGUUUUUUUUUCCACAUGUAUCAGCCCUCUUCCACAGUUCUCUAAUGGAAGUCACUGUAUAGCUCAGUUCUCCACUCAGCCUUGGGAUUUCUAACUCAAAUUUGUCAUACUCCUAGGGGGAAACGUGUGUGCUGUACAAGUAUGUUUUUCAGGGCUUCAUCUUCAUCACGGUUUGUCACACUUGUUGUAAAGCAUAUCCUGCCAUUUUUCUAAGCAGAGGGAAUCAUUGUAUAACCUUUCCAGAACAGAUGCUUCAUUGCUACUUAGCAUCUACAGUCCACUGUUUGUACGUGUUAGCCAUAGAAAGCCUUACUUUUCAGUUAAAAGGGUUUGGGUCUAGAAAAAUGCAGAUGAUGUCUAUGGAUCCUUCCUGGUUUUUGUUGCUUUUGGUAGUGGGGAAGGUUGGCUUUAUUUCAAUUUAAUCUUCAAUGAUGGAGCAACUGAAUAUAAUACAAAAAAAUAUGUUAGUUUUCUGAAAUCAAGGAAACUUCCAACAUCCAAGCUCAAAAUCCUGACAGUCAGUUCUAACAUUUGCAAGUAUACACUUGCAAAGAAGAAAAAUAUUUUGACAUGUAGGCUGUCAGAUAAUCUGUCAGUAACGGUUGCGUCAUUCAUGGAGAGAAAUGAUAACUUCCAGAGUAAUUUACUGGGAAAAUAAUAGGCUUAGUGCUGUGAAAUGUCCUUCUGGAUGCUAGAGAAGUUGCUUAGCAUUUUUGCAGGGGAAGUUGUUUGGCUUUAGAACAUGGGUCCUUCUCUUCUGAGAAAAACCCAGAAAAAUAAAUACUUGACAGAAAUCAUCAAAGGAAAAGACAUACCUGCAGACAACAGUGUGCUCAAAUACGUUUAGGAAGCAUAAGGAACCUCACACUGAAGGACAUAAUGCAAACAGGAAAGGAAAGUAGCACUCAGAAGCACGCUCCAUGCAGUAGAGGCUCCUGGGUUACACACCAAAUAUUUUUUCUUCUGUUUACUUUCCUUGGAGUAAUUUUUAAAAGCACAGUUCUGCUGUGCCUGGAAAAACUGCAGUGUCUUCGGGCAGAGGUGUUUCCCUGGCACAGUGCAAUGACUGGUACGUAGUGUUCUCCUUGCUGUUGGGUUUACGUCUCCCAAUUUUGCUUCACUGACAUUUCAUUUUUCUUUGUGAUAAAAAGGAACCUGUUUCUGUAAAGAUACGUAUGAGCAUUACGUGUAAUGAUGCUAGUAAUAAUUUCUGAAGUGCUCAGAGGACUAAGGCCCAAGUUUUGUCAACUUGCAUAUUACUGUUAGGUGGUAUCAGUCGGAGGCUACACGGUAUGCCUGCUUUUAAUCUGUGUUCCAUACUGAUUUAUGAAUAAGAAAUAAGUAAUAAUUCUGGCUUCUUGAAAAUAAAAUUCAUUUGUGUGUGCAUCUUAUUAUAUCAUGAAAAAUUAGUAAAUUUGUUACUCUUAAGUAUUGCUUCUGCUGGGAGUGAUGAUGAUAAAAGCCUGGGUUUUGCAAGAAUAAGCAAGCCCAGGCCACACAGGAGGGCUGAAAACUUUAAAGAUUAUUCCAGCACCUAGAGAAAGGUGUUUGUAAUACAGGCAGUCUCAGUUUCAAGUUCUUACUUCUACCUCUGUCUCAUUAGUCAACCAAGUCUCACUGGAACUUAGCUUUCCCUUGAUGGUUAAUGCCAGUAGUAAUGCUCCAUUAAUCUGCCUCUGCCAGAAUCUUUUUUCAUUGCUUUUCCUGAUACAUGAGAUAUUUUCCCUUUUUGGAUAAGUUGAGUUCUUAGAUUCAAAUGAUGACAUUUGCUCUGAGCUUCACGUGUCCCGAGUCACUUGUUAGAAACUACCAGGUAGAAUGUGUCAGAUGUCAUCUUGGAGUGUUACACCUCACACACCUACAUCAAGCUUUUAGUCUGUUGUCAUCUUAGUGGGCAACAACCUACCCGUUAUUCCAUUAUUUAUUAUAUUAUUAUUCCAUUAUUGUGGAACUUCCUUGUUUUAUUGCUUCCACUUAUCGUCAAGGAAGCUAAAAAAUGAAAACCUGUUAUUAUACUCAUUCUCCUUAUAUUAUUGUUCUUUAUUUCUUCCUUUUCUGAGGCAAAACAGAAAUGAGGGAAAGAGAAGACUGGUGGUAAAAGGAGGAAAAGAUAGGAGACAAGCAAAGCCAAGGUGAACACUUUAAGUUUUGACAUUUUUUCAUACAAGCUUUAAUAUUCUAUUUAAAGGGUUUACAGUUAUUCCCUAUGAAAUAACAAUAGCUUUACCUUUUUUAAAAAAAAUAAGUCUACCAGUUCUAAUGGCAAUCAGCAUGGCAACACCAAGGUCAAUUGAGGACAAGUUAGGCAAACUUUAUCCACCGUGUCUCUAACCCAUAUUUAAUAUAUUUUAAAAUACUUCAUCUGAGUUGACAAGAUGUGUAUACAGUAUCUGAGUUACCAGACUGAGGAGUUGUAGCCUUUCGCCUUCCUCUCUCUGCCUCCUCACUGUGGUGCUUCACUCACAAUGUUACAGCAUCAGACUUACGUUAUCAGUCCUCUUUAGUCACUAAACUAUCCAAUAUGUUAAAAUAUUCAGUACAAAUUAAAAUCAUAAGUAAUUUGAGCACAUUUCAGCUACAAAAUUACUUCUUUUUUUUUCACAAAAUCGUAACAAUUUUUUUAAAUAAGUAGUUAAGCCUUUUGAAAUAUAUUAUGGCUGUAGUCAUGAUUUAUUUGCAGACAGUUAUUUUUGUAUGUACUAAAGAAACAUUGACAAGUUUCAAUCUCGCAUUUCGUACACUAGAUUUUUGUGUAUACAAAGCACAUGUCAGCAGUUUGUAUCUAAACAACGUGACAGUUGGCUUCUCCGUGUGGCAACUUGUGAAGAAAAAUAUUUGGGGACUGCACAUUUGUGACACGAUUAAAUGUAAUGAAAUGUUCAGGAACCAGUUAUUUAGAAGUAUCUUGUAUCCGUACGAUGAAAAUAAAGCAGUGAAACAUGCUUGCAUUGCUAUAUCGCAGUUCAGCUGGUUGUAAUGUCAGAACGCAUUCGAAACAUUCCAAAUUCAGGUGGUGCUGUUGUUUUUUCCAAAUAGGUAUACUAAGACGUUACAUUUUAAUCAGUGAGCUAUCUUUGCAUCAAAGCAAUAUCUGCAUUUAUCUUUAAACUGUUUAGGGUUUUUUUUUUUUCCCAUCCUAAUUGUGGUGAGAUGAGAGACAUACGGUAGUGACACAUCCUCUGUUAACUUCAGUGGGAUCAGGAGUCAUCUGCCGAGGAGAACAAAAUCGUUCCCUGAUGAAGCUGAGCCAAAACAAGAAGUUACAUUCUUUCUUCUGUCUGUCGUAUUUCUGAUUGCAUCUUUCACGCUAGCCUAACAGCCAUGGCCGUGCAGAAAGCAAGGCGAGCUUGCUGAUCCGACUGAAGAGUUUCAAAGGAGAGUUAAAAACAGGAUUCAUCUUGUGCUAAUUGCUAGAGGAAACAGUCAUUGUUCAGUUAGUAUAGACUCCAAGUAGUGAGUCAACACACAACCACAGGAUAUUUAAAUUGAGUAUGAUAGGAACUGAGGAUGCCAAAUGCAGUAUUGCUUAAGUAUUUUAUUUUGUGAAAACCAAACAAACAGACUGAGUUUUGUGGAGAAGAUAUAAAGGUGUAUCAUUCAAUUUUUGUAUAUAUAAAUGCUAUAGAUGCAACUGGAAGAUAGUAAAAUUCACGUUUAAAGCAGAAAAAGGCUGAGCAGGGCACAGAAAGAAAACUAGGAUGAUCUAGAAGUAGUUUACAUCAAGUUGAAUGGCUAUUUAAAUAAGCAUGGCAGCACGCAGUCUUUCAAAUAGAGCUGAGGAUCAUCAACAGGCCUAAAAUACAUCGUAAAACACAGUGCAUGAAAAUAAUUUAAAACCCUUCAAGCAUUUUUAUUAUUACUUUGUCAAAGAUGUAGAUUCUUCUUUUAUCCAUUUUUGUUUGUUGUGAAGCCUGCUGAUAUAUUAAGUAUUUAUAGCAUAUAAAAUAAUUUCUUGGGUUUGUUUUUUUUUUCUUUUUUACUACUACAUCUCAUAAAUUGUCUCAGAUUUCUGUUCAUGUCUGUCUUUUAAUUUCUUUUGCCUCAUCCAUUCUUCUGAAAUCAAGAAAUACCAAAUAAGACAGUUAAUGAACUAUGCAAAAGGUAAGUAGCUUCCUGGUGUGGUCACUAGGGGGAAAAAAAGGUUGGCUUUAUCUCCCAGAUAUUCCCAUGAGUCAAAACAGUCAUGCAAAUAUCUGAGCUUUGUAUCCAGAAUUUUCUUUCCUUGUUUUCAAAUUCUCUGUUACUUUCAGCCAAACAUAAACUAAUCAUGCUUCCAAAAGCAUAUAUCUUAUUUAAUUAAAAAAGUUCUUUCUGCUAUCUCAAUUAAGUGAUAAAAACCAGACGUUGUAGGGUGCGGGCCAAACUCCAGAUUCUGAUGUCCCUGAAACUAUCUUUAAAUAAAGAAUUUUGAUAACUUCUUUCUUGUUUUCUUCCUUUUGUAUCAACAAAAGGAAGUGCUUUCUUGUCAUAAUAAUGUCCAGAGCCCCUUAAUUAUAUUUUUGUUUUGUAGUUUAUAUUUUUUUACUGCUUUUUUAUUUCAUUCUGACUGUCUUCCUAGUGUGUUUCUGUGGAAUUUUGUUUUAGUUUAGGCUUAUUUGUUUCAUUGAUGAAUGGUUUUGCAUACAAUUUUGCAUUCCAAGCUAUGCAUCCUUUCAUGGCUAAUUUUAUAAUUAUUUCAAAAGAAGAAAAAAUGCUUUCAGAAAUGCUGAAUGAAACGUAGGAGCAGCAUCAAGCAAGUGCAUACAGCACAAACCAAUGCAGUUUUGAAUAGCAGAGAUACUGCUUAACAUAUAUUACCUUUUCACAAGAUUUUGUGAUCACGUUGAAAUAGUGAUUUCAGUUCCAUCUCAGAAAAAUAUGAAGGUGAUAUAUGAAAGAGCAGAAAAUUAACAUGGAGAUUAAAAAUUAUGAUUUGAACAACAAAUGUAAAAAACAAAACCAAAAACACAUGGAACUUACUGAUUAUCCUAAAUUAACGGCGUCUUCAGUGUAGUAGAGUUAUUAAACUCCCUAAGGUUUGGAUCCCAAGGCUUGACUUUGUGUUUACAGUUUCAGAGAUAAUAACUGUCACCAAAAAAAUGGGAAUAUUUGUCAUGUUUAUUGUGCUUCUUGGUUAUCCCAAUCCCCAAAUUUGACAGAUGCUUUUCUGUUCUUCUGAAACAGGUUUGAAUAUUCAGAAUUGUUAUGCAAUUUGGAUUAGAGUGCAACUUAUUAAAUAAAACUAAAGAAAGUAGAUGAAAUUUAAGAACAUAAAACUCAGACUAAGUAUUAGCAAACAUUUAGUUUCUGAUACCAAUCUGGCAGUAUAAGUAAUUGGGUUGUACAUCUAAAACUAGAUAGGAAAGUACAGAAAAAAUCGGUGAUUCAUUUUGUGUUGGUUGGAUGUGGUAGGAUAACUAAGAAAACAGGUUUUCAACAUCUGAAAUUUUUACUGCAUCCAGGAGGUUGAAACUGCAUACACAUGUAUGCAAGGGGCUCCAGAAUUUUACUAUAUAAUGGGAAAAUCUGCCAACUUUCAUCUGACAAGGAAAUCCCAAAGGAAAUAUUCUAUUCUGCAUGAAUAGAAUGAGAAUGAGGACUAUUAAAAAAAAAAAAAAAAAAAAAAGGAAUCUAUUUAUUUUGAAAUAAAUAGGAAAGAGUAAAUUUUUCAAAAUUCUUAAGUUGUCACAGAUCAUUUUGUUUUAUUGUAUGAGCCUUGUUUUUCAGUUCUGCCAUCUAUCUGGCAGCAUAGUUUGCUCAGAUGGAGAGAGUGACUACAAGACUUUGAGUAUCUGGAAAUCCAAAUCUGCAGGAAAGAAUUUUUUGGAGGCUGAGCUUGCUUCUCUGCCUACAGAAAGAAUUGGUAACCCAUUUAUCUAGGCAUCGUCUCAGUCAAAACUACAUUCUGUUCAUUAACUCAGGGUCUUUAGGAUGUUAGUAUACAUUUGUUUGAAGAUAUAUGUUGAGAAUUCACUGGAAGGAAAGAAAAUGUCAAGGGUCAGGAAUUGCAUAGUACAUUAUUUCGAUUGUGUGAACAGCUUAGCUGAGGUUACCCUGUUGUAAGAAGGGACCAAGAAGCACACAAAACUCAUCAUCAGUUCAUAUUUCUGCUGACCAGAGUUCUGGAAAUGAACAGAGUGACUGGAGAAGAAUUUCAGCUUUAUAGCAUGUUUUCUAUAAAAAGCUCCCUUUUGAUGUCUCUGUUUCAUUCUGCUCAUUUUCCAUAUCAAAGCUAAAACUUCCUUUUCCCGCAAUUCCUCAAUUUCACAUCAGUUUGCAGCACAGUGAAUUAACUCUUCCAAAUCAGGAGUCGAUAAUGUAUUGCUUCAGGAGGCACCAAAUCACUGUGAUUAAUUGUCCUAAAAAAAGUCACAGACCUUUUCAGAUGACAUUUUCAUUUUCAGUAAAUUGAAGAUGGGUUUAGCAAACAGCUGCUUUGUACAGAAUAAGGAUUAGACAUCGUAUUCUUACAUGGAGCAUGCAGUAGUUACUUUAUACGAGGAAUCAUGAAAGAGCCAAGUAACUCUGGAUUAUUGAUCUAUUUGUCUGCUGGGAGUUUGUGAACGAAAAAUGUUUUGCCCUCUUGUUCUUAAUUCAGUUGCCAUUAGCGUAGAGGUUACUCCAGGAUCAGUGUGAAAGGAAUUGAUAUAAUGCCAAGAGUGCUGAAAAAAUGUUUCUUCUCUAAAUAAAAAUAUAUGGAAGUUAACAACAAAAAAAAUACAGUGUUUGGUAACUUAGAAACCACAGUGUUUUACAGAACCAAGAUCAAUCAAAAGCUGCUAUAUAGCGUGGCUUAAGGCCUUGUAGAAUUGUACUUCACACAUAAACAGCCUAACUGUAGUGUAAGCAGUAAUUAUUACCCCAUCUUCUAAUAGAUCUAUUUACACUUAUUUUCUUUGACUGACAUCAUAAAAGGUAAACUAGCUCAAUUUUGUGUGUGGUAUAAAUAUACUUUUUCUGCCUUCAUUGUAAUCGCUUACAGUGGUUUGAUUUGUCACAGUGGAUGAGACCUUCCCUCAUUCACACUUCUAAAAUGGUCCUGACUUGAUAUAAUAGUAAUGUAACUACAAAACUUUGUGCAAGCCAUGAUACAGUGAAUAGCAUUUGCUAUUCACAUGAAUCAUAGUUUGCCCUUCUUUAUACCCAAGUAACAGGGAGUGCUUUGUAUUAAUUUCUACAGUAUGUUUUCUUAUAUUUAGGAAAACAACUGUGUCUUUUAUAACAAUGAACAAGGAACUGCAAAAGUCUCCCAGCUCAGUGCAGGUGUUUACAGCUUUUUUGCCUUUCUCUUGACGUAUUUUGUGCCAGCAUGCGUAACGGACUGGCUGCCUUUCAGCAUACACUUUUCCUGGGAGCCUGGCAGGAGCCUCUGAAUGCUCUUGCCUCCCCAGAUUACAUCGUGUUCCCUCUUGCAUUCCCUUUCUUGCUCUUCUGUCACACUUUGCUGCCUAUUUGAAUUUUUUUUUUCACCCGCAGAGCAGAAGCAAUUUGGCUUUUUAAUUUUACUACUCUUUUAAAGAACUUGUCAUGCUUCUCUCUAUGCUCGGGUGGUUCUCAACGUCAGCUUGAAGCUGGGCCAGAAGGUGCUUUGGCCCCGCUGCAGCUGCCAGCUGCAGGCCUCCCAUUUUAUUUCCCAGCCUGCUCUUCAGGGCCUGCUCAGAGACCAUGGCACCGCACCAGCCCUGGCAGUCCUUGGGCAGGAGCUGUCUGCAGGGCAUAUGGAAAAUAUCCUCCCAUAAGGAUCACCAAUAUGAGUUUUCAAAGCCUUCCUCCAUUGCUAUGUAUGUUUGGAACCAGUAAUGGGAGGGGAGGCAUGGCUGCACGCCAAUGGCAGCAGGCCCAAGUGGCUUUCCCUGGGAGCCUGGGCUACCAGUGUGAGCAGUGCUGAACCUGAAGUGAGGAGGUUGCAAGGAACUGAAAGGAGGGCAGCUAGCUUGACAAUCAUACUAGCCCCUCAAAAAGCGGGUCUGGGACCUGUGGGUAAAGGAGAGGAAGGCUAUGAGAAAUCUGAACAGGUUCAAUAAUUUGCUUGAGAAAGGGACCAUACACAAGGAACAACUUCUUCUCAGCAAGAGCGGUGAGGCAGUGGCACAGGCUGCCCAGGAAGGUGGUGAAGUCACCGUCCCUGGAGGUGUUCAAGAACUGUGUGGAUGUGGCACUGAGG